GUGCUCGUAGCUCAAUUGGUUAGAGCUCUCGGCUGUGGCCCGAGGGGUUGCCGGUUCAAAUCCGGUCGGGCACC
rnacentral:tRNA from 1 species